rnacentral:rRNA from 1 species
UACGUAGGGUGCGAGCGUUAAUCGGAAUUACUGGGCGUAAAGAGCACGCAGGUGGCUGAGUCAGUCGAUUGUGAAAGCCCUGGGCUUAACCUGGGAAUUGCAGUCGAUACUACUCAGCUAGAGUAUGGGAGAGGGCAGUGGAAUUCCCGGUGUAGCGGUGAAAUGCGUAGAGAUCGGGAGGAACACCUGUGGCGAAGGCGGCCGUCUGGGCCGACCCUGACGCUGAGGCGCGAAGGCGUGGGGAGCGAACGGG